rnacentral:RNase_P_RNA from 1 species
UAAGCUGUUCCUCUCAUCGCUCUUUGUCUUAAUAAAGGGAGGAAAGUCCGGACACCACAGAGCACCAUGCUUUCUAACGGAAAGGACUCGCCCUUUGGGCGGGGACAGAAAGUGCAACAGAAAUGAUACCGCCCGGAACUUGUUUCCGGGUAAGGGUGAAAUUGUGAGGUAAGAGCUCACAGCCGAUGGAGGCGACUUCACGGAAGGCAAACCUCAUGGGGUGCAAGGCCACGUAUACCGGCUUAGGGCUGCUCGCCCGUGCCGGGGGGUAGGCUGCUACAGGUUUAUGGCAACAUAAAUCGCAGAUAAAUGAUGAGAGUUGGCUUCGGUCAAUUACAGAAUCCGGCUUAUGGAACAGCUUAUUUU